GUUUUUACAUUUAUUCUCAUAUUUCUGUAAUUGUGUUUUAUACCUUUUUCACAUGUAGGACACGUGGUUUCAUUUUUCCACUUGAAUUAUCAUAAUUUUUUUAUUUGUUUGUUUUAUUAUUCCCUAUUUCACAGCUGCGGAAGACGGUGGGUUCACUUCAUGUAUGAUGACAAUAUCAGCUAUCAACAUUUUUUGGAGUCUGUUUUAAACAUCUACAGCAGGAUCAUGUAACAGGUCUUGGCUAAAGCCGCGCGCUCUGCGCUCGCCAGGUAUUUCUGCCGGUGGAAGCGCUUCUCCAGCUCGCAGAUCUGCGCGCGCGAGAACGACGUGCGCGGCUUCUUCCGCUUGGGCGGCGUCCGGUUCUGGUACG